AGCGAACGCUGGCGGCAGGCUUAACACAUGCAAGUCGAGCGGGCAUCCUUGUGGUGUCAGCGGCAGACGGGUGAGUAACGCGUGGGAACGUGGCCUUCGGUUCGGAAUAACUCAGGGAAACUUGAGCUAAUACCGGAUACGUGCGAGAGCAGAAAGGUUUAUCUGCCGAAGGAUCGGCCCGCGUCUGAUUAGCUAGUUGGUGAGGUUACGGCUCACCAAGGCGACGAUCAGUAGCUGGUCUGAGAGGAUGAUCAGCCACACUGGGACUGAGACACGGCCCAGACUCCUACGGGAGGCAGCAGUGGGGAAUAUUGGACAAUGGGGGCAACCCUGAUCCAGCCAUGCCGCGUGAGUGAUGACGGCCUUAGGGUUGUAAAGCUCUUUUCUCCGGGACGAUAAUGACGGUACCGGAGGAAUAAGCCCCGGCUAACUUCGUG
rnacentral:rRNA from 1 species